AAGAAAUAGCCUUUAGUUUUGCGAUAGGCUCGAGGUUUGACCCUUUCAUUUCUCUGUAGCUUCUAGUCAGGCUGGCUUGGGCUUUUGGCAUGUUGAGCAGUUAAAUAGGUGACAAUCAAAGAUAAUGUGUUGUCCUUUCUGUUAACACUAGCUGAUAUCUGAUAUUUGAUCAACAUUAAGUGAAACGUGAUAACAAAAUAUCAAAAGUUUUAAUUAGAGAAUCAUGAAAAUCUUCAGCUAUGAUUAUAGUUUUUGUUUGCAAAACUAUAAUCUGAGGUUGAAAGUUUUAGCUGUUUAACCUCUUAGUUUGAUUUCUAUUUGCUAAUGUUAAUUUAUGUUAUUGUUUUCUGUAUGAAUCAUGCAUUCACCUCGUCAGUUGCAUGAGAGAAUGACCUAGUUUUAUUAUUUAUCUGUUUGGGGGCAGGUUCACACAAAUAUAUUCUUGCUGUUUCUUUGGGUUAAUAUGUUAAUUAUUUUCUGCUAGCUUUAAGCUUAUUUGACUCUGCUAGCUUUAAGUUUAUUUGACUUUCAUUUGCGCUAACAUUAUGUUUGUUUGCCUUUUUUUUGUUUGUAGGUCUUAGCUUUUAGGGACAUAUCUCCCCGGGCUCCUACGCACAUUUUAAUUAUUCCAAAAUCAAAGGAUGGCCUAACUGUACAAUUUUUUUUUUCUCCUCAUGACUAACUGAGCAGUAAAGAUUUAUGCCCUCUAUCAUAGAGGAAACUAUAAUUAUGGCUGGGUAUUAAUUUGGAAAAAAAGUAUGGAGUAUUGUUAAAAGAAUGCUGCUCAAAUUUUGUCAAUUUCAUUUGCCUUUUGCGUUUUGCUCACUCUUGAUGGUGUAUGAGGAAAAGUAAGAGAAGGAAAAUAGGAGUGAAAUUAAAUGGAAAUUGUAUCGAGAAAUUCUGGUGGUAAAGACUAAGAGAGUCUUAGUGGUUAUAAGAAGGUGGGGAACUGAAAGUACAUCAAUGCUGAGGAAAACCUUAAAACUUGAUAUGCAAGUAUUGAUAGGUAUAGGCCAUAAAUCUAUGAGAUAAAUUGAGCUUCUAAAUAUAUCCAUACAAUGAAAAACCCUAAUAAAAGCUUAAAGCAAUAUCCAUUAUUCAUCCUUGUUGGAAGAAAUUGUCUUUAGAGUUAAAUUGCAUAUACCCCUCCUUCGUUGUGUCAAAAUAGAUGACCUUUCCCAAUGAACAGAAAGUAUGUCACCGAGUCUAGAAUUAAAAACCUCAUCACCAAGUUAUUUCAAUCCAUCAACUUAUUGCAAUCACUAAAAAACUUGUAAGGUGUGUAAUGAAACAAACAUAAGGCUCAAAGAUGUCCGAUAAAAGAACUUAGUGUUAGAAUUUGCAAUUUGUGUAUCCAAGGCUUGUUCAUUUGUUUUCUAUGUCAUAAUCAUGUUUAAGGUGUCAUGUAUUUAUUAUAAGUUUUGACAUUUUAAAAUGAUUGGUGCUAUAUUGAUUUUGAUAUGUUUCUGUGCUUGUGUAAUAUUGUAUUUUAGCUAUUUUUCUUGUGUCGUGUACAAUAUUACCAGGUCUGUUUAGUAACAAUUUUUUCUCUAAAGGUUUCUCUUUUUAGGACAGGACGUCGGCCAUUCAUAUUAACCCAAGGUAUCUCUCUCUACAAUCUCAUGUGAAUUUUCUACAGUCUCUCUCUACAAUUUCUGCUGUCGGCAAGUGUUAUCCCAGCAGUAAGUGUCCUAAAUUUCUUUUGCUGGACAAGUUAUUCAGGCAACACAAAUAAGACCGCUUGAAAUGUCAAGCUGAUAAUCACCUGCAUCUAUGACCUCCAUGCUCUGCUCUUUUGCAACAGGAAUUUAGCAAUAUUUUUGUAUGUCUCUUGAAAUUAUCUUCAAUCUUAUUUUCACGCCUGAGUCACCCAUUCAUUUCUUUCAGUGGUAUGUUUUCAGUGCUUUAUUCGAUAUGUAGGUUUCUCUACCAAUGCAUCAUGUGCAAAUUUGAAAGGACAUGCUAAUGUGUUUUUACCAGGGAACUAUAUCUAACUCCUUGUGCUAUUGCAGAUGGAUAUAACUUCCAAUUUGUUUUUAUCUUUCCUUUUCUUUUUGCUACUAUCUCGUGCUUUGAGUAGUCUUUACAUGCAUCUCACCUUUUAACCUGCUUUUCUUGCAUAACACAAUUAAUGAGCUAAAACAUACAGGAACAAGCUCAGUUAACAUCUGUAGAUCAAAUGAGAGGGGGAAAUAUAAAAUUCGAUAUGUAGGUUUCUCUACCAAUGCAUCAUGUGCAAAUUUGAAAGGACAUGCUAAUGUGUUUUUACCAGGGAACUAUAUCUAACUCCUUGUGCUAUUGCAGAUGGAUAUAACUUCCAAUUUGUUUUUAUCUUUCCUUUUCUUUUUGCUACUAUCUCGUGCUUUGAGUAGUCUUUACAUGCAUCUCACCUUUUAACCUGCUUUUCUUGCAUAACACAAUUAAUGAGCUAAAACAUACAGGAACAAGCUCAGUUAACAUCUGUAGAUCAAAUGAGAGGGGGAAAUAUAGAAAGUUUGGCUGCAAUUCAGCAGACUAGGAUGCUUGCACAUACAUUCUCUCAAAACAGUGAUCCUAAGUUUCGGGUUUUAGUUUGGCUAAAUACUUGCAAUGUGUCAAGAUAGCUCUUAAUGAUAUAAUCGUUAUUAUGCAUGAGUUAAUAUAGGCACUUUUGUUCUGUAUGUUUUGGGGCAUGCAGAAUUCAUAAUUUCUUCAAUUUGUAUCCAAGAUGAGUCGCGGUGAACUUAUCAUUGAUGAUAAUCAGGUCAAACCAGCAUCAGAGAACUUGGCAACAGAAUAUCAGCAACAGUACAAUGGAGGUGCUUCUUGUGGAUGCUAAAGAAGCUUAUAGAUUAAUAUGUCCUGAUAAUCAGUCAUAAAUUCCUUUUAGCAGUUUCCUCGUCCUUUUCUUCUGCCUUGCCUACGUAGACUAAAAUGGAACUAACAUCACUGACCUUAGGUAGUAAUCUCAUUCACCAACCCUAGGUGGUUGAAACUAGUUUUGAUGAUUUGAGAAUGUCCCAAAUGAUAAUGAUGGUUUGGUUAGUGCAAUUAUCUAUAUAUCUACUAUAAUUUAGCAAAUAAAGUGUGAAUGACUAAUGAUUCUGUAUUAUUACAUCUUCAGUUGAACUUUUAAAUCAACUAAACCUUUAAAUCUUAAAUGAGAUUAUCUAUAUUUGUUAUUUAUAAAAUAUGCUACUCACUGUUUUGGUGGUUCUUAGUAUUUCUAUGGGCCAAACCAAUGGGUCAUGGAGUUUGCUGCUAAAAUGAGCAGUGAGAGCUUAUUGAUUAUAAUAAGUUAGAAGAUAAACUGUCACUGAUGAUUCUUGUAAUUGUAUAUCUCUGUUUGGUAUUAAACCAGCUAAAAACAUUGUAAUUUGUAUAAAACUUCUUAUUAUACAGAAUCUGCUACUCUGGUUGGUGUUUCUUUGAUUUUCUUCAACCUGAUCAAUGGGCUGAGGAGUUUGCUACUGUAUGAGAACAACUAGGGUGUUUUGAUUUGUUUAUUCAGGAUACAAAGUGCAACUAAUGAUUCUGCGUGUUAUGUAUUAUUUUGAGACUCUUAAACCGUGCGAUGCUCUUAUUCUUAUUUGAAAUAUUCUAAUUUUCUUCAUUUCAUUUAAUGUUCUUGACUUGAUGGUUAAUAGGUUUUCCGUGGACCUGACGAUUGGGCCAAUGAGUUUGGUGCUGAAAGAUUGCAACAAGUCUGUCGAUGAUCAAUGGGUCAAUGAAUUCUCAAAGUUGCAUGUUGAUGACUGGGCAGAAGAAUUUGAUCGUCAAGCUGGUGAGGGGGCUUUGGGAGAUUGUUCGUGUGAUAACUGGGCAAAUUCAUAUGAUGAGU
rnacentral:lncRNA from 1 species